AGGGAGAAAAAGCCAUUGCAUUUCAUAGAUAGUUUCUAAUUGAGAAGAUGGAUAGAUUCUUUUUAGAGGUGAAUGAUGGGAAGAGACUUUAGUUUAUACAUUAACUUAUAUAUUUUCCUUUAUUUUCUGAAGCCGUGUGAGUUUGGGGAGAUAAGAAAGACCUACAACCUAUUGGAGUGUUUUCUGGGAUCUUCAGGAAUAUUAUUGUAACCUGCUGUUACAAGCAUGAAGAUGUCAAAAUUCAAAAACAGCUGUCAAGAAGAAGAUGGGAUACCAAUAUUUCUUUUGCAGUGUUUGUCUACAAAGAGAUCUGCUGACAUAUGGAUGUCUGAAUGCAAUCAAAAACCAAAGCAGGUGUUUAGGAAAUAAAGGAGACAGUUACCAGUCAUCAUGAGUGCUGCCAAGCAAUAAGAGGCUUAGGGCAACACUUGAUCAGGGAAAGGAGAACAUGCAUUCAAUGACCCUUGCUGUGUUUAUAAUAUAAACAGAAUAUAAGGAAAGAAACAAGAGAACCAGGGACAGAUUGCAAUUGCUUGGACUGGUUUACAGGCUGGAGAAACCCUCAUCUACCAAGAAAAAAACAACUAUUGAGCUUCAGUAUCUGCAAAAUAGGCUUUUACUGAAAAAACUUGUUUUCUGAACCAUUGAUGAUUCCUGAGACCUGGCAAAUGUGAAGUUUCUACUGGAGGCUAGUGCAAUAAAGAGAUAAUCAACUGAGAAAAACCUGAGUACAGAUCCAGAAAAAGGUACAGCUAAGCAGGAAGCAGCUCAGUGGGGGCUUAUUGAGGUUCUUUCUUUCUGAUAUAUUUGACAUAGUGCUUCAAAUGUCACCAAAAAUAUUCAGAAGUGGUGAGAGUCAGUAUCAAGAAAGUUGUAUUGAUUAAUGUUGCUUCCAGCUAGGUUGUUGGAAUCCUAGAUAAAGGAAUAAGAAAAUAGGAAUUGCAAAGAAAUCAGAGAUGUAUGUAUAUCAUGCACAUAACACAGAGCAAGCAUGUUUCAGGUAGUGAAAUGAUCAUUAGAUGGGCACAAUUGCAAAAAGUCCUUUGAGUCAAAUCUGUUGCAAUCAGUUCUUGUCAGGGGAGUUCUAGCAAGAAUGAAACUUAUUCUUGAAUUUCAGGCUAACUUGAAAAAGCACUCACUGUCACAUAACUUUUGGAAAAAAAGCCUUGAUGCUCUCUAUUUUAACUCCUCUGUCUGUGACUUAGCAUAGCAAAUGUUUAUUCGUGAAGUCUGUUGCCUCAAAAAUCCUGCUCAAGUAGCAUCCCUUUUUGCCGAACAACUCUAUACUUCUCAAAACAAACAGAAAAUUGUUGUCUAUAUCAGAGUUACCACAGUACUCUAAUAAUAUAGAGCAAACGAAAGACAUUUGCUGUCACAGGCCCCUAGGUGCUGUUCCUAUAGAAAUUACAGGUACUUGGGAAGGUUAGGAAUAUAGGUGAAAAUUUCCAUUAAAUCUAUCACACUGGUCAUAAAGCUAUCUAAUAUGUCUCACAUUUUGGUUUGUGUUAAUCUCAAACCAUUUUCUUCUGUACUUGUUUUUUCUGAGGGAACAUCUUGAUAAGAAGGAGAUAAAAAAUGCAUGCCUAGAUGCUGCCAAAUGUAAAACAGCGUCAGCCUUCACAGCCUGACUAAAGGCGAAUUUUAUGCAUUCGUGGAACGCUACUGUCAGUAAAACAUAAGUGCCUCCAAAUGCAGACACCUCUUGAAUUGGAAUUGAAAGACACCAGACUUACUGAUUAUGUACCUACAAGAGCUUUCCAAAAAGGACUUAAAUAUAUGGUUCACUGGCUGUGAAAUAUACCUGUGCAGGACUACUAAUGCUUCAGAAUAUAGACAUCUGAAGAUGAAGAGAAGAUAAAAGAGCACAUACUUCUUGUUUGAAGUACUUUGCUAUUUUCCCUUCUCAUUUUUGCAGAUGAGAAUCAGGUGCAGUGUAUCUCACACUCACAGUCAUCUGGCACAAAGAUACACAUGUACUUCUUGAAUUGCAAUGAACUUCGUUCUCGCUUCAGAGGUAAAUAAGAGGAGGGAGCAAAAUCAGUCUUGACUCAGUCUGACUCUUCUGAGAAACUAUUAUGAAUAAACAAUCAAGAAGUGAAAAGCUGUACUCCUUACCUGGUCUGAGAGGUACACUGCACCUUGAAAGCCUCUUAAAUGACACAGAAGAAAUAGAAAUAGUUGAAAGUUUUUACUCAUCCAACCAAAGGACUCAGGAAAUGACUCUUUUGCAACUAUUAACUCCUUCCUUACUUCAAAGUCUUUCAAGUACAGUUCCACUGCAGUUUGGUAAUGAAUGCUCUGCCCUACACAUGAUUUCUAUUUCAUACUGAGAUUAUGCAGGUGGCCAGAGGAGAAGACUCUCAUCACCUCUAUGAAAGAGAAAAACUGCAGCGUCUUCUGCAUAACUGUGACCAAGUACAAUUUUCUGUUGAGUGGCGCUUAUGUAAUGCAGAAAUGACCUAGAGUAAUGGCUUGACCUCCCAACUCUCAUUUACAGAAGAAGUUUAGGGCAGUGGAGCAACAUUCUCAUAAUGAAUUCAGUGUUGUGGUGCCCAAGAGAGGAAGGUAAAAAUCAAGGUUGUUUGAAGGAGUGGCAUCCAUUGCAGCCUGGACAAGAAUUUCAUAUACAUAUGGUGUAUGAUACUUUCAUACACAGAGGGUCUCCAGCUGAAAGUCAGGCAUCCCGGAGUAUCAGGAGUUAGCCCUCUGCAUGUAAAACCCCUCUGUCCCUAAAACCCUGUUUUCCUUGCCUAAAUGUAUAUGUUCUGAGACUGAACUUAUAAACACUCACGAGCCUGAAAGAUAUUAAAGGCCAGCUGCCCACAAGAGCACAAGCUACUUCCGGGGAGUGGACACCUCCAUAUAGAACCCAGGGUGGCACCUGGGCUUCUGAGCCUGUGGAGAGACCCUGUGUCGGGGUUUUCUGAGACAGGGAUGGGGUUGUCUUGCCUAGCUCUGGGCAUUUGCACUGUAGAUUUCUACACCAGAGUUUGUCAUUCAAGGCAACCGAGUAUAGGCAGUGGAAAGAAAAAGACCUUUGCAAGAUUCUUUAUCUUGGAAUUUUAACAUCCAAAUGAGAGUCUCUUUUGUUAUAUGGAUAUAUAUAUAUAUAUAUGCUAGCAUGAUUUUUUUUAAUGCAAUCAAGAUUUUAUAAAAACAACAACAAAAAAAUCUUUAUUCUUUGCGAGUUAAGUUUUCCUAAUGAUUAUUUCCAGUAACAAAGACUCAAGAGGCAUGCUCCCCCACAAGACACUGGUGAGGCUGGUCUGCACUUGACGUUUAUCCUUUUACAGAACACCACAACAAGAAUGAGGAUACUCAAGGUCCUAGAUCUGAGCAGGUGCUUAGUGCUGUCUUGGAAUGGAGGACAAAACAUUUGUGUGACUCCUCAAGCUAUGGCUAUUGAUGCUAUAGGUUCAUAUGCAGAAACACCAGGGCAUUUUUCUUUGAAGACAGUUGCAGGACAGAGACUCAAGUUCUUGCUUUGACUCCUCUCACUUCCACAUAUAAAAAAUUGAAACCAACUGUCAGUAUUCUCACCAUGAGCCCACAGGUAAACAGGAAGGAGUUUCAGUCGCAUAGCCUCAAAGAGUACAAAAUAUAUUAAAUCAAACCCCCUAAAAACUCCUCCAAAAAGAGAGAUUUGAUUUGCUUCUUUGGUUGUUAUUUUUGUAAACAAUCUUCUUUUAGCUGAAAUAUAGCAGG